GUACGGAAGGCAGCAGUGAGGAAUAUUGCACAAUGGGCGAAAGCCUGAUGCAGCAACGCCGCGUGAGUGAUGACGGCCUUCGGGUUGUAAAGCUCUGUCUUUGGGGACGAUAAUGACGGUACCCAAGGAGGAAGCCACGGCUAACUACGUGCCAGCAGCCGCGGUAAUACGUAGGUGGCAAGCGUUGUCCGGAUUUACUGGGCGUAAAGGGUGCGUAGGCGGACCUUUAAGUGAGAUGUGAAAUCCCCGAGCUUAACUUGGGGGCUGCAUUUCAAACUGGAGGUCUAGAGUGCAGGAGAGGAGAGUGGAAUUCCUAGUGUAGCGGUGAAAUGCGUAGAGAUUAGGAAGAACACCAGUGGCGAAGGCGACUCUCUGGACUGUAACUGACGCUGAGGCACGAAAGCGUGGGGAGCAAACAGGAUUAGAUACCCCGGU
rnacentral:rRNA from 1 species